GACGAACGCUGGCGGCGUGCUUAACACAUGCAAGUCGAACGGAAAGGCCCUGCUCUUGUGGGGUGCUCGAGUGGCGAACGGGUGAGUAACACGUGAGUAACCUGUCCUUGACUUUGGGAAAACUUCAGGCAACUUGGGCUAAUACCGGGUAGGAGCUCCUGCUGCAUGGUGGGGGUUGGAAAGUUUCGGCGGUUGGGGAUGGACUCGCGGCUUAUCAGCUUGUUGGUUGGGUAGUGGCUUACCAAGGCUUUGACGGGUAGCCGGCCUGAGAGGGUGACCGGCCACAUUGGGACUGAGAUACGGCCCAGACUCCUACGGGAGGCAGCAGUGGGGAAUAUUGCACAAUGGGCGGAAGCCUGAUGCAGCAACGCCGCGUGCGGGAUGACGGCCUGCGGGUUGUAAACCGCUUUCGCCUGUGACGAAGCGUGAGUGACGGUAAUGGGUAAAGAAGCACCGGCUAACUACGUG
rnacentral:rRNA from 1 species